rfam:Moraxella macacae 0408225 chrom_contig1, whole genome shotgun sequence.
AGGCGUAUAGCUCAGUUGGUUAGAGCACCACCUUGACAUGGUGGGGGUCGAUGGUUCGAAUCCGUUUACGCCUA